rnacentral:rRNA from 1 species
AGCCAUUCUCAGUUCGGAUUGUAGGCUGAAACUCGCCUACAUGAAGCUGGAGUUACUAGUAAUCGCAGAUCAGAAUGCUGCGGUGAAUGCGUUCCCGGGUCUUGUACACACCGCCCGUCACACCACGGAAGUUGGGGGCGCCCGAAGCCACUUAGCUAACCCUUUUGGGAAGCGAGUGUCGAAGGUGAAAUCAAUAACUGGGGUGAAGUCGUAACAAGGUACC